AUUGAACGCUGGCGGCAGGCCUAACACAUGCGAGUCGAGCGGCAGCGGGUCCUUCGGGAUGCCGGCGAGCGGCGGACGGAUGAGUAAUGCCUAGGAAUCUGCCUGGUAGUGGGGGAUAACGUUCGGAAACGGACGCUAAUACCGCAUACGUCCUACGGGAGAAAGUGGGGGAUCUUCGGACCUCACGCUAUCAGAUGAGCCUAGGUCGGAUUAGCUAGUUGGUGGGGUAAAGGCUCACCAAGGCGACGAUCCGUAACUGGUCUGAGAGGAUGAUCAGUCACACUGGAACUGAGACACGGUCCAGACUCCUACGGGAGGCAGCAGUGGGGAAUAUUGGACAAUGGGCGAAAGCCUGAUCCAGCCAUGCCGCGUGUGUGAAGAAGGUCUUCGGAUUGUAAAGCACUUUAAGUUGGGAGGAAGGGCAGUCAGUUAAUACCUGGUUGUUUUGACGUUACCAACAGAAUAAGCACCGGCUAACUUCGUGCCAGCCGCCGCCGUAAUAC
rnacentral:rRNA from 1 species